rnacentral:rRNA from 1 species
UCUACGGGACGCAGCAGGCGCGAAAACUUUACAAUGCGGGCAACCGUGAUAAGGGAACCUCGAGUGCCUGUAUAUGCAGGCUGUCCAGGUGUCUAAAACACACUUGAAGAAAGGGCCGGGCAAGACCGGUGCCAGCAGCCGCGGUAAUA